rnacentral:rRNA from 1 species
AUUGAACGCUGGCGGCAGGACUAACACAUGCAAGUCGAACGAGUGGCGGACGGGUGAGUAAUGUCUGGGAAAAUGCCUGAUGGAGGGGGAUAACUACUGGAAACGGUAGCUAAUACCGCAUACCAUCGGAUGUGCCCAGAUGGGAUUAGCUAGUAGGUGGGGUAACGGCGCACCUAGGCGACGAUCCCUAGCUGGUCUGAGAGGAUGACCCGCCAAACUGGAACUGAGACACGGUCCAGACUCCUACGGAAGGCAUAAGUGGGGAAUAUUGCACAAUGGGCGCAAGCCUGAUGCAGCCAUGCCGCGUGUAUGAAGAAGGCCUGCGGGUUGUAAAGUACUUUCAGCGGGGAGGCGUUACCCGCAGAAGAAGCACCGGCUAACUCCGUGCCAGCAGCCGCGGUAAUUC